CAUUAUCGUACAAAAUGUGUGAGGCAUGCGAGGGCUGUCGCUGGCUUUUGACACAAAAGUCGUGCACGCCGGAGUGUGUCCUCUCACAUAAAAUCCAUCUCACCCUUUUGUGCACCACCGCGUGGGCACCCUUCGGGAUCAAACCGAUCCGGGAGGGGGCUUGCGUUUUCAUACAAACCCCCUUUUAAAAAGUGUAGAAUGACCCCAUUUUUGCGAUAACACGCAAUCAAUACAACUUUCAACAACGGAUCUCUUGGCUCUCGCAUCGAUGAAGAACGCAGCGAAAUGCGAUACGUAAUGUGAAUUGCAGAAUUCAGUGAAUCAUCGAAUCUUUGAACGCACCUUGCGCCCCUUGGUAUUCCGAGGGGCACACCCGUUUGAGUGUCGUGAAAAUCUCAACCUCCUCGGUUUCUUCUGGACACCGAAGGAUGCUUGGACUUUGGAGGCCUUUGCUGGCGUCUCGCCAGCUCCUCUCAAAUGAAUUAGCGGGGUCCUCUUUGCCGAUCCUCGACAUGUGAUAAGAUGUUUCCAUGUCUUGGUUUUUGGCUCUGUUGCCUUUGGGACCCGCUUCUAACCGUCUCAUCGAGACAAUGUUUGAGC
rnacentral:rRNA from 1 species